rnacentral:ncRNA from 1 species
AAUAAAAAAGGGAAUGAUGAUCUCCCUUAGUUAUAAACUAAAACUGCUUAUAAAGCUGAUGACGUCUACAUUUUU